AUUGAACGCUGGCGGCAUGCCUUACACAUGCAAGUCGAACGGCAGCACGGGGCAACCUGGUGGCGAGUGGCGAACGGGUGAGUAAUGCAUCGGAACGUACCUUUCAGUGGGGGAAAACGUAGCGAAAGUUACGCUAAUACCGCAUAUUCUGUGAGCAGGAAAGCAGGGGAUCGCAAGACCUUGCGCUGAUUGAGUGGCCGAUGUCAGAAUAGCUCGUUGGUGAGGUAAAGGCUCACCAAGGCGACGAUCUGUAGCGGGUCUGAGAGGAUGAUCCGCCACACUGGAACUGAGACACGGUCCAGACUCCUACGGGAGGCAGCAGUGGGGAAUUUUGGACAAUGGGGGCAACCCUGAUCCAGCCAUGCCGCGUGAGUGAAGAAGGCCUUCGGGUUGUAAAGCUCUUUCGGCCGGGAAGAAAUCGCACGGGCUAAUACCCUGUGUGGAUGACGGUACCGGUAUAAGAAGCACCGGCUAACUACGUGCCAGCCGCCGCGGUAAAAC
rnacentral:rRNA from 1 species